AUAGCUGGUUCUCCGCGAAAUCUAUUUAGGUAGAGCGUCGUGUAUUACCUACGGGGGUAGAGCACUGGAUGGGCUAGGGGGCCUCACCGGCUUACCAAACCUAACCAAACUCCGAAUACCGAGGAGUAAUGCGCGGCAGACACACUGCGGGUGCUAAGGUCCGUAGUGGAGAGGGAAACAGCCCUGACCGCCAGCUAAGGUCCCAAAG
rnacentral:rRNA from 1 species